rnacentral:rRNA from 1 species
UACGAAGGGUGCAAACGUUGCUCGGAAUCAUUGGGCGUAAAGCGCACGUAGGCGGCUCCAAAAGUCGGAUGUGAAAUCCCUCGGCUCAACCGAGGACGUGCAUCCGAAACUGCGGAGCUUGAGUAUGGAAGAGGGUCGCGGAAUCCCCGGUGUAGAGGUGAAAUUCGUAGAUAUCGGGGGGAACACCAGUGGCGAAGGCGGCGACCUGGGCCAAUACUGACGCUGAGGUGCGAAAGCGUGGGGAGCAAACAGGAUUAGAAACCCCCGUAGUCC